rnacentral:lncRNA from 1 species
UUUUUUUUUUUUUUUUUUUUUUUGUAUUUUUAGUAGAGACGGGACUUCACUAUGUUGGCCAGGCUGGGCUCAAACUCUUGACCUCGUGAUCUGCCUGCCUCGGCCUCCCAAAGUGCUGGGAUUAUAGGUGUGAGCCACUGUGCCCAGCUGAGAUGAGGUCUUUCUAUGUUGCCCAAGCUGGUCAUUGUUUUUACUAGGUAGACAAAGCAGUAUAAAACCAGUCCUUCACCUUCAGAGGGGCAGGAGCAUAGGUGGGCUCAGAAUGGCCUGCCAAGGAAAAAAAUUCCUCCUGCACUGGCCCUCCUGCUUUUUGCUUUUCUUCUCAUGUCCUUUCAAGGGAUGGACAAACCUAUAGCCAGAUAGUCUUGGGCCUUAUUGGUGUAGGACAACCUUCCACAUUGCUAUUUGGAUAUUUUUGUGCUUUACUUCUCCUUUAGAGACCAAAAAGUAUGAGAAAAUAAGGCCUAUAACUUUACUAGUUGGAAACACUGGUUUUGAAAGUCUUUGUCUUAGUAGCAUUGAUUUUGGCUUUAUUGAAAUAACUAAGGAUGAACUAGACGUUCUGGUCUGUUUUCACAAAGACCAUGAUCUCUGCCUGCAAAACAGUCCAUCGCUGGAGAUCUGUGAAGUGAAUGUGAAAAUAAUCCACAGGGAGAAUGCUGAGAGAUGAGGGACUGGAAGUCCAGGUGGCCAUAGAAAGUAGGUUCAGUGGAGUCACAGGUGCAUUAAGAGGUGGUUCAGCUAAAUAGUUAACAGUGGGGGCAAUCUCUAAGGAGUAUGUAGUGGUAUUAAAAUGUCAACUAAUUCUUUGAAACUUCUCUUAUCAAGAGGUGGAGUUGAUGUUCCCUUCUCUUGAACCUGGGUGGUUUUGUAGCUGUCAUGAUGAAUAAAUGUAGCAAAAGUGAUGCUGUGUGACUUCCACGGCUAGGUUAGAGAAGGGGAGGCAGCUUCUGACAGUUUUUCAUGGGACACCUGUUAAGGGAGCUUCAGUCAACAUGUGAAAAGUCCACCUGCCCUGAAGUCAGCAUGUGGAAAGACCUCCUAGACAGAAAGAGACAAGUUCAAGGAGCCCUAGCUGUUCUAGCCUGCAGCUAUUGGGCUCUUUCCAGCCUGGGUGAGGUGCCAGGCAUGUGAGUGAAGAAGCCUUCAAGAUGAUCCCAGCCCCAGCCACUGCCUGACUGCAACUGCGUAGAGACCCCAUGUGAGAACUGCCUAGCAGAGUCCAUUCAGCCAAGAUCAAUGAGAGAGAGAAAUGAUUAACUGCUUUAAGCUAUGUUUGGGACUGACUUUUUAUGGAGCAACAGAUUACUGGAACAAGGCAUGAAAACACUGCAUAAUACACUGGAAGCAUGAUGCUGAUAAUCUGAGGUUCUCUCAUGAAAGUUCUGGUGAAAUGUAAAUUGAGUGCAUUCCAGCGGAAGUGGAUGGUGCCCUUGUGAGGAAAUUAGUUAAAAAGCACUUCUCUACAGCAUGUGUUGAUCUUGUCUAUGUGCGUGAAAAGCAACGGAAUAAAUUUCAUUUCUCUUGACCAGAAGUGGCCUAGGAGAGAACCGGGCUAUGAAAUGUAAGGGGCGGUCUUUGGGAAGUUUUCCUCCUUGAUAUUAAAAACAAAACAAAACAAAAGAUUUGAGAGGAUAAAAAAGGCUUCCUUUCCAGUCUCUGGGUGCACUUGUGUGAGAAGGGGACGCCUGACAUCCACCUUUUAACCAGAAGGUGACAGAAACCAAUGCCUGACAUGACAGAGGGGAGAAAUGAGAAACCACUGGAUCCAUCUUCAUUGUCCUUCAGAAUUAACCAGUUUGGAUCUGCUGCCACUGGGCUUGUUGUUAUCUAAUAAACGUCCUUAUUGUUUAAAUCCCUGUUAGGAAAAUCUCCUAUUAUUUGUAGUCCAAAAUGCAGCGGAUACACUCGAUAUAAUGCUGUUUCUACGGAACGAGUGAUUUUUAAAAUUUAAUUUUCUUAAUUUUAAAUCUGUCAGUGCAUUUUCCAUGAAUUUAUCUGGUUCACAAAAAACAGCUUAAGAGAGAGGUAGCCCUUAAUUCAA